rnacentral:rRNA from 1 species
GUGGGGAAUAUUGCACAAUGGGCGAAAGCCUGAUGCAGCGACGCCGCGUGAAGGAUGAAGUAUUUCGGUAUGUAAACUUCUAUCAGCAGGGAAGAAAAUGACGGUACCUGACUAAGAAGCCCCGGCUAACUACGUGCCAGCAGCCGCGGUAAUACGUAGGGGGCAAGCGUUAUCCGGAUUUACUGGGUGUAAAGGGAGCGUAGACGGCUGUGCAAGUCUGAAGUGAAAGGCAUGGGCUCAACCUGUGGACUGCUUUGGAAACUGUGCAGCUAGAGUGUCGGAGAGGUAAGUGGAAUUCCUAGUGUAGCGGUGAAAUGCGUAGAUAUUAGGAGGAACACCAGUGGCGAAGGCGGCUUACUGGACGAUGACUGACGUUGAGGCUCGAAAGCGUGGGGAGCAAACAGGA